UACGGGGGGGGGCAAGCGUUGUUCGGAAUUACUGGGCGUAAAGGGCUCGUAGGCGGCCAACUAAGUCAGACGUGAAAUCCCUAGGCUCAACCUAGGAACUGCGUCUGAUACUGGAUGGCUUGAAUCCGGGGAGAGGGAUGCAGAAUUCCAGGUGUAGCGGUGAAAUGCGCAGAUAUCGGGGAGGAACACCUAUGGCGAAGGCAGCUCGCUGGGACGUUACUGACGCUGAGACGCGAAAGCGUGGGGAGCAAACAGG
rnacentral:rRNA from 1 species